rnacentral:RNase_P_RNA from 1 species
GAAGCUCGUAUGAUAACCGCUGGGGAUUCUCAGAGGAAAGUCCGGGCAGCAUAGAGUACGGUAGUCGCUAACGGCGACCGUUCGAAAGAAUAGGGAAAGUACCACAGAAACAAAACUACCUCUCUCAGAGAGGAAAAGGUGAAAAGAGUGAGGCAAGAGCUCACAGUGGUGUAUAGUGAUGUAUACCAGAGGCAAACCCUACCGGCUGCAAGGAGUACUAUUCACCCUUACUCGGGGAUGUACGCUUACCGCUCGAGCCUUAGAGCAAUUUAAGGCCUAGAUAGAUGGUUAUCCGCGUGACCUUGGUCACGUGACAGAACCCGGCUUACACGAGCUUUUGGG